rnacentral:misc_RNA from 1 species
CAGCGUUCACCAUUAUAAUAUUAUACUCAACGCUAUUACCAUUUGGUAAUACGGGAAUGAGACUAAAUUGAUCUUUAUUGUGUUUGUUGUUGUCAAGUAAAUUGAGAAAUAUUUUUUUUUGUGAUGUCAGUAAUCCUUUUUAUUGUGUGACACACUGGUACGUGAAUGUCGGAAAUAAGGUCGACAACUUCGAAAAUGAUGAAAAUCAUCGAUAGAAUAGAUAUACAUCAGCAAUAAAAAAAUUAAAAACCUACUCUCGAAAUUUAUCCAAAAAAUUUGUGACUAUCAAUAUGACUACCGAGAUCAAUGGGGACUUCAGCAUUAAUGAUAACCAUAUCAAAGUCCAAGCAGCAAAGCCAGCGCAAGUAAAUUGUGAUAAAAUGACUUUAAAAACGUCUAGAGUGAAUGAAGACAAACCACUAUUAACUGGUACAGCUACACUCUACAACCAAAAUGGAAGUAAUUUUCUUUCUCCAACUGCUAGAACAUUACCUGAUACAAACAUUUCUAGUGGUCCAAUGAAUGAAUCAUUGGAAAAAAAUGUUGCUAAUGGUGGAUCAACAUCAGAUUAUAAUCCAUUGCUAAACCGACAAUUAGAAAAUCCAACAUCGAAUUUUGAUACCAUGAUACAUUUAUUAAAGGGAAAUAUUGGUACUGGAAUCUUAGCUAUGCCUGAUGCAUUCAGAAAUUCUGGUUGGGUUGUAGGUUUAGUAUGUACAGCACUUUUGGGAGCUGUUUGCACACAUUGUAUGCAUAUAUUGGUUCGGUGCUCUCAUGAAUUAUGUGUCAGAACACAAAGGCCAUCUCUUUCAUUUCCUAAUGUUGCAGAAAUGGCUUUUGAAUAUGGACCACCCAAAUUACAAAAAUAUUCAUCAGCUGCUAGUAAAUUUAUUAAUACCUUCCUAGUUAUGACUCAACUGGGCUUUUGUUGUGUGUAUUUCUUGUUUGUGGCCACUAACUUACAAGAGGUGAUAACUCAUUACUUUUCUGUUAAAUUGUCUGUUCAAUCAUAUUUGCUUAUACUACUGGUGCCCAUGAUACUUUUGAAUUGUGUAAAGAGUCUAAAGUACCUGACGCCGGCAUCUUUUGUGGCAACCAUAUUAACUGUGAUUGGAUUAGGAAUAACAUUUUUCUACUUACUUCAAGGACUUCCAAAAACAUUAAGUGUCAAAGCUUUUUCUUCUUGGCAACAGUUACCCCUUUAUUUUGGAACUGCAGUUUACGCAUUUGAAGGCAUUGGAAUGGUUUUACCAUUGGAAAAUAACAUGAAAAAUCCAGAGUCAUUUGGUGGAAUGACUGGUGUCUUAAAUACUGGAAUGGUCAUUGUAACAUGUCUGUAUACGUCAAUUGGAUUUUUUGGAUACUUGCGAUAUGGAGAAGCUGUUAAAUUAGGAAGUAUUACACUGAAUCUUCUUCUGAAGAUUUGUUAGCCCAAAGUGUCCGGGCAGCAAUGGCAUUCUCAAUAUUUUUGUCUUAUGGUCUCCAAUUCUAUGUUCCAAUUGGUAUUGUAUGGCCUGCUUUAAAAGGAUAUUUUCAUUCACAAUCUAGUCAACGUAAUGCUGAAUUGAGUAUCAGAGUGUUUCUUGUCACACUAACAUUUGCUUUAGCAGCUGCCAUUCCAAACCUAUCAGCAAUCAUCUCAUUAGUGGGAUCAUUCAGCAGCUCAGCACUAGCUCUGAUCUUUCCACCUAUUAUUGAACUCAUGACAUUCUGGGAUCAUUGCUCUGGUAAAGAGUUUACGCUGAUGUUUGUUAAAGAUAUUAUUAUUAUUAUUAUCGGUUUUCUUGGAUUUGGUUUUGGAUCGUAUGCGAGUUUAUGGAAUAUCAUUGAACCCAUAAGCAGUUAAUUUAGCUUUGGACAUAACAAUGCUUUAAGUAUCCACCAGUAUUUCAAUUAUUGAUCUUAAUAAUUUAUUGUCUUCCUAUAUCAAUUAUCGUUUUAUUUUUUUUUUUUAUAUUAUAAGGAGUAGGUAAUUUUUUUUUUAAUUUCUAAUUUUAAGAUAAUCUUUAAAAAACCAUUUUUUUUUUCAAAUUUUUUAUUUGAAAUGACAAUUGCAUAAUAUUUAACCUUAUAUCUAUGACAAAUUUUUUAACCCUAAAAUGUUAUGGUAUCAAAAUGUAUUUUAAAUGGUAUUCAUUAUCAUCUACUAUUAUAUUUUUAAAGUAUGUUUUAAAUGUAAGACUCAUGAAAAUGUAUCAACGAUUGAGUACAUGUAUACAUUUUCAGUGCUUAAAAUUGUAUACUUUGUUUUCUUGCCUAUUUGAUUUUAAUAACAUUCUUAAUGUCAUAACCAAACAUUUUACCUUAAACAAUAUAAUCUCACUUUUUUUUUACCACCUAUAUGUAUGUGAUUAUUAGUUUUAAUACCUAGUUAUUGUUAAUUAAGAUGUUGAAUUGUUUUUAGACUAGGUAAAAUAAAUCAUAAGGCAUACAUUCCUAUGAAACUAAAUAUCUAUUGCUUAAUUAUUAUACAUUUUAAUUAAUAAUAUAACAACUGCAUUUUUCAUUAUUUUAUUUGAGAAUAAUUUAUAUAUUAAUAAAUAUAUAUAUAUAAUACAAUUUUAAACAUAUAAUUUUAUUUAAGGUAAUGAUUAUGUUGAGAUAUUAUAUUCACGUAUUUGGAGAUUAUUGUAUAAAUCUAUGAUAUAUUAAUGUAUAUUAAAUAUAAUAUGUAUUACUUGUAAUCAAAUUAACAUAAUAUUUCAUAUUUUAUUGAACUAUCUAUUGUUUUUUUCAUUAUUCUAAUGUUAAAUUCAUUAUGUUAUACAUCUUCAUUACUCUGUCCUAAGCUUUAAAUGUUAACCAUAACAUAAUUAGUAUAGCAUAACAAUUAUUUAUAUUACUUUUAUUAUAAUAGUAUAUAUAAUAUACAAAUUAUACCUAUACGUUAAAUGGCUUAUAUUUAAGACUUACAAAAAUAUUACUUAACUAUAUUCAAGACAAUUUUUUUUUUCAUAUUAAUUGUAUUAUUGGAUAAUAAGAAAAUCAUGACAAUAAAUUUGCAACUAAGA